ACUACCGGAUUAUACAUUAUUUUUAUUUUUGUCUUUUUUGUCUUAUUUUUUCAAACCUACUCAAGUGAGGUAAGGUUCUACAUAAAAUUCUUAUAUCUUUAUAUUUUAAAAGUGCUUAUCUAACAGUUUUUCUUGGUUUAACAGAAUAUACUUUACAAAUAAAAGAAUAUUCUGUUCAAUUUAACCCAAAAGAACCAUCCUUAUUUUUUUAUAAACGUUUUCUUUAGACGUCGUUAACUUAUUAUUCUUAUAAAAAAAUUUAAAAAAGAAGUUUCUCACAGUCCUAAUCUCAAUCGUUUCAUUCUCACGUUAAUAUCUUCACUAUUCCCUUCCAUUCUCACUCCCAAUCGCAGAUCGUCGAAACCAACAGCUCGACGCUUCCUUUCACCGACUCCUCCAUUUCACUCUCCCAAUCCCAAUCGGAGGUCAUUCGAUUUUAUUCCCUCUGUUGGAGUUGACGAUUGAAAACAAUUUGGCUCACUCAUCCUAUUCUCUACCCGAGUCUCCUUUAAAACCCCACUUAGUGAGAGAAGCUUUUCUCAGAAUUUAGAUAGAGAAACAAAAUCAUAAGAGUAGAGAGAGAGAGCUUCGAUCGACUAUGGCAUCUAGGGUUUGUAUUUCCUUUCUCAUUUGCAUUCUCGUUUUAACUCAUUUGCAUUUUUUUCUUUCCAAAAUGCAGAAUUACGACCGAUGGAGGAUGUCCGGACAGUUUGGGAUUACUUACCUGGUGACCCAUAAGGAGACUAAGCAACAAUUUGCUUGUAAAUCUGUAGCAGCAAGGGAAGCUAAUCAAUCUCGAUGAUAUCGAGGAUGUACGGCCAGGUAGCUGAUACUUAAUAUGGAACUUAUUUGAAAAGGAAGAAAUCGAAGAGGAUGAACAAGCAAAAGAAUGAUAAGAACUUCAAAAGGUUAAUAGUAAAAGAGAAAAACACAUUCGUAUUUAUCUUUUUCAGGUAUAUGUCAUUCUUUUACAAUAGUAAUUUUUUUUCUUAUUUGAAUUUUUGGGUAUGUGAUUUUUUCUUUCAUUUUCUCAGUUGUGGACACAUUUGGGCUCCCUCCUUAGAGAUCUCCUCUCAAUUCCCCCUUGUAGCUUACUUUCUAAAAAUAUAAUUUUUUUCAAAAUAAUAAAUAAUUUAAUUUUGAGGUC